rnacentral:rRNA from 1 species
GACGAACGCUGGCGGCGUGCCUAAUACAUGCAAGUUGAGCGCUGAAGGUUGGUACUUGUACCAACUGGAUGAGCAGCGCACGGGUGAGUAACGCGUGGGGAAUCUGCCUUUGAGCGGGGGACAACAUUUGGAAACGAAUGCUAAUACCGCAUAAAAACUUUAAACACAAGUUUUAAGUUUGAAAGAUGCAAUUGCAUCACUCAAAGAUGAUCCCGCGUUGUAUUAGCUAGUUGGUGAGGUAAAGGCUCACCAAGGCGAUGAUACAUAGCCGGCCUGAGAGGGUGAUCGGCCACAUUGGGACGGAGACACGGCACAAACUGCUACGGGAGGCAGCAGUAGGGAAUCUUCGGCAAUAGACGAAAGUCUGACCGAGAAACGCCGCGUGAGUGAAGAAGGUUGUCGGAUCGUAAAACUCUGUUGGUAGAGAAGAACGUUGGUGAGAGUGGAAAGCUCAUCAAGUGACGGUAACUACUCAGAAAGGGACGGCUAACUACGUG